AUGUGGUUUUUUCCACGCUGUCAAGAUGCGCCCAUGGUCAGGAUGCCGCCCCUUUGGAUUUCGCUGUUUCAGCGCAAGAAAGGUCGAGGCUGCGGCGGGGAGAGGGGCGUCGUCCUCUUCCCCCCAAAGUUCUUUCUUAUUCCUCUAUCCUUUUCCCAAACCGCCUCUCGCCCCCACUGGUUUCGUAAACGAUUUAAAGGAACAACAAGAAACAAGGUUGGAGGGUUCUGUAUAACCGAAAACGAGUUUGCAAGACAGAAGUGAGCAGGGACUGGGGGGAGGGGGACUCCCAGCGUUGUUCCAUAAAUACAAAACAAACACAAUAAAAAGGUGAGCGAUCCUGGACUGCGAUUGACUUUAAAUACUUGUUAUCUAGAGUGAAAACAAUUCCCGUCCGUGGGCGUUUGUGUACUAUAAACGCCUCGCCCGGAGGGAGGCAGGAUCCGAGGAAGCAGCAACAGCCACGGAUGAUGUGAUCAACCUCCGAUUCGGACUGGACAGUUUUCUUUCCGGAUAAAGCAUGAAUUGGGGGCGGGGGUAAGGUUGCGGGAUCCGUUCCGGCUACCGAACCGACCCUCCGAUUCGUCUUUAAAAUGCCUGAAAGCAGCGAGCUUUCGGGUUGCACAGAAGUCCUUGUCAGGCCGAAGAAGGGCUCGAGACUGAAGUAGAAAAUCCCUCACACAUCUCUAGUAAGUCCUGGAAGGCUGUACGCGCUUUCACGCUACCUCCACAAUAUCCACCCUGCUUCCUCUUGAUUCCGCAGAGAGAGCCAAGUUAUUUCAAAUCCAUCAAUCAGUCAGAAACUGGGAUUUACGGAGAUCGCGACAGAGCAACUGCAAUACUUUCUGGGGAAAUCAGCGGGACGCGUCCGGGGUAGCCAAUGUCUGUGUGAGCGCUCGCGCGUGUGUGAACGUGCGUUUUAGACUCACAGGGUCAAAUGCUCUAGGAGCAAAAAGAGAAAGAAAGAGGAGGAAUGCUUUUGAUCCUGAAUAAGAGGGGAAACCGUUCCCAAUCGAAGCUCUGAAAACGACUCAGCGUCCUCUGGAAACUAUCUUUCAAAAUCGUUUCCGCACCCCUAAUUUCUACUAGCAGGGAAUAAACCCCAAUCCGAAUUUAAGAGGGGUUACUUUUGCCCUCACCCCCCUGGGCCAGUCUUCCGGAGAAAGAGGGAAGGGUCCAUUGCGAUCCUGAACGAGGCCUGCUGUGAGCGCAGCGCUAUCGGUUCCACGGAGUCCCGACGCAGUUAGCAAGCCUGACACGCAAAUCCCUGUUCAGACGUGGAACGGAACCAAGGGGUAAAAACUGGGCUGCUCCAUUUCAGAGUGCUGGAUCCCGCUUAUACAAACCAGAUUGCAGGGCAGAUGGGUAUCCAAACUCCUUUCCCGUGAAACACCUGAGGGUUUUCGGUGAAAAAAACAUGCCAAAAGCAUCGGCUUAUAUUUGCACCUUCAGCCUGAAGCGAAAUAGUCCCGGAA
rnacentral:lncRNA from 1 species